GGGGCUGUAGUUCAGUUGGGAGAACGCAUGACUGGCAGUCAUGAGGUCAGGGGUUCGACUCCCCUCAGCUCCACCA
rnacentral:tRNA from 1 species